GCGCUGCGCUGUGCCCUGUGGCACAUUUCCCUGGGGCUCUUUUGUAGCUUUUAUUCAUAUUUUAAGAGGAGGUUUUUCAUGGACCGGGUGGGAACAGGGAGCUCCCUGCAGCCGUGCUCCCGGCUCUCUGACUUCACAGGAGCCGGCAGCACCGCGGCACGGGCCCCGCAACGGGAUGGGCAGCGCCGAGCACUCACGGAGGUCGGUGGGGUGGCCCUGGGAGCAGCGGGAGCCUGGAGACGUCAGCGGAGCCGGGUCCGCGCCCCCGGAGGGGCCUGGACGUUGCAAGYCAGGGCCGCAUCCCGCUCACCGGGGCCCGUCUCCCGCUUCUCCCAGGCAGAGCUACGUUGGAGGAAGGAGCCAGGAACGGGGACCCGGCGCCUGCAGCAUGCAUGCCGCCCUCCGAUGCUCCCUCCAGGCGCUUGGGAAGCUCCUGUCCUUYGUCAUCACGCUGAUCUUCUGCGAUCUCCUGUUCUGCCUCGUCUUCAUCUUCCUCUUCUUCCUGCUCCUGCCCCUGUUCGUGGCGUACGACCGCCUGCUGCCGGCCCUGCUCGCCUUCCUGCUCUCGGCCGCCCCCCUGGCCGACAGCUUCUUCAACAAGCUGCUGCCAGCCGUGGCGGCCUUCCUCCUCGCCCUCUCCCUGCCCUUCCUCAUCUUCCUCUGCGUGACGCAGCUGCUGGUGCCGCUCGCCCGGCAGCUCCUCGCGCUCGCGUGGUGAGCGGUGCCGCCAGCCGCCGGGCAAUACAGCUGCCAGGCAUUGCCCCGUGUCCGCCUCCUGCGCGUGUCCGCGCCAUGGCCCCCCGGCUCCGUGCGCGGAGCCAGCGUGGGCGGCUGUGUCCGACAGGAUCGACCUGGCCUCCCUAGACCAGCGUCACCUCGGCCGUGCCGCAGGGCCGGAGGUGGAUGCCGGUGAGGCUUGGCCGCCGGCUCCGUUCGCCGCCGCGAUGCCGAGGGCCGGGAGCAGGAGGACCGUGGCCGCCUCCGGCAUGGCAAUGCCGGGUGGUGCCGGCUGCCGCAGGGUCACAAUGCCACGGCGGGUCGGGGAGGCAGGAGAUGCAUCCGCCUGGGCGUAGGGUGCCGGGCCGCAGGGCGCAGCGGAUGCCCGUGCCGGGAGCAGCCCGCGCCGGGCCGGGGGCUCCCACAGCGCCUGCCCCGGGGAGCAGCGGGCG
rnacentral:lncRNA from 1 species